rnacentral:lncRNA from 1 species
AAUAGAAGAGGGUGCAUAGCCUUUCACACCACCUGCUUGCCUUCUUCUUUUCCUCUUGUGGGGAUUGCCACCCUCUCCAUCACCCAUCACAAGCGCACACCCCUUCUAAAAGAGGCGCUCGAAGAUGCUGAAAGGAAACCCAAGGUACCUGUAUACUUUUACAAAUUUCUGGAGCCCAAGGUGGGAACGCUGGUGAGUUUCUUUCCUUCCCCCCUCCCUCCCCUCUCCGGCCCCGCAGCAACUUGGCACCCAGAAGCGGUGGGCGCUUGGCCUCGCAGAGCUUUCGGAGACGUCCGAGGAGUCCGCUAGAAGACUUCACCGAUCAUGGUCCCGGAUCCCCCACUCCAGGCCCUGAGAAGGCUUCGGGCGACGGCAGGUGGACGGAUCCAGCAAGCGGGAGGCGCAAGAACUGCGCAACAAGGUCACGACCGCGAGGCUGCAGACCCGGGCUGCGGCGCGCGCGGGACCGGGCGCCGCCCUCUGGCCCCGGAGCUGACCCAGCCGCCGAGCCGGUCUUCGCCACUGGCCUGGCACGACCCGAGGGGAAUGAAGGGGCGACCCCGCAGAAACAACCCUUGCUUUAAAGGUGGAAGCUGAAACCUGCGGGGCUCCCUGGCAAGCUGUCCUGGAAGAUCAGCCGCACGGUACUACUGAACUUGAGAAGGGGCUCUCAGCUCUGCCCACCCCUCUUCCUGUGGCGACCUGCGGGAGACUUUUAUCUGCUCCCCUCUGUGUCUUCGUGCCCCUGGGAACUUGGCCCAGUCGGCCUAGUUCUCCAUAUAAAUUAGUGGUUCCAUCAAUUCAGCACCCUCUUCUCAGGCGGACUUCCAGGGUGUCUUGUAAGACAUUACUAGACAUUGAAAAAGCUCGAUGCUUUUUUUUUUUCUUCUUCUUUCUGAGGGAGUUUUGUGUGAAAGUAAAAUCUUCUAGGCGUUAAAAACCAAAUCAAACCACAAAGCCAAAAAACAAAACAUGCUGCCUUCACGUGAGUGGAUUGUGAAGUCAAUCCAAGCCUUCCUUGGGCCAGCCUUUGCUCAGAUAGUCGGGUUCCUGAAUCUUCCAGGAAAAUAGAGCCCCUUCAGACACUUGGGGGGGGGGGUAAUAAGACUACAAUAUAUUUCCAUGCUUAAAACAUUUCUUUGCAGAAGCAAGAUUUCCUAAAAGUGGUCUGCCAGUGAUGCAUGGAAAAGCAAACCAGCUUACAGAGAGGGGCCUCUGAAGAGGAAGGGGGAGAGGCAGGACCCAGCCCCAAUUACAAACCGCAGUUUCCAACUGUUGAACCACAGCACUGCUACAGUGGGACUGGUGGGAUGUCCUGACUGACCCUGGAGCUGACAGGUUGCAGACCUCUGGGGCUCUUUUUCACGGUUUGCUGGAAGUGCUGGACUUCUCAGGGUAGCCCUUCCCAACCGCAGAGUUAAGCCCCCCUUUUGUGUUUUGUGGGCAUAUGUUUGGACCCUGCAUCAAGCCUUGCUCCUCACACACUUCAGGUGGAUAAGCUGUUGUUCUUCAGCUGACCAUGCGUGCACCCAGGGUGGGAAUGUGGGUGCCAUCACAGACGAAGGUGUGUGUUUGUGCCAGUUUGUUGUCUGACACCCCACCCCUCGUCCCUGCCAGCCCCACCGCUAAGAAAUGGACUUUAACACAGCGCUCCAGAAACUCUCCUAGGAGUUUCUUCCUGGGAGAAGACACCACUGAAAUUCUUUUGCAACCAAGGUUUAUGUGUUUUGUCUAAAGAACUCAAGAGAAGAGUUGCAAAGAUUGCGAGCUGUGCAAUGUCUCAGGUCAAGAGAACUUACUCAGGUCCUAGACACUCAAAACUCUGAAGGGGAAAUCACCAAGAGUAUUUUGCUCAGAAAGUACAGCUUUCCAGCUUCAUGAGAAUAAGGACUGCUUUCUGUACACCUCAAAUCAUUCAAACAACACAACAAGUCUCAACUGCCCCCUUUCACAAACAAAACACACACCCUCAAGUAUUUCUGGUCCUCUUGUGGUUACCAAACUAUUUUGUAGCACAUUAAUGGUGAUCCCCACUUUUGCAAAGUUUCUUGCUCUUUACCCUGAUAAGUUGCACUUGUUCUGGGUAGAACACAACCUUGCCUUUGAGCCCUUGACCAUGCUUUCAACCAUUUUAAAGGUUACAUUUUAGUCUUAAGGGAUAAAAAUGUUCCUUUCAUCCUGUACACAGAGUGCCAGGGCCCAAAGUGGGCAAGUCUGUAGGAAACCCAAUCUCUUGGCUUUGCUAAGAUCAGAUGGACAGUUUCAACAUGCCAGUUCUUGUCUGCUAAAACGCCAGGGCAAGGUACUCAGGCCACUGCGGACAGACGGAUCAUCUGUUUCUCUGACUCUAGCGCUGGGCAGGCUGAGCACAUCUGCCAAUUUUAAGGAAGAGAAAUCGGCUCAGGCCAGAAAGAGCAGGAGAACCCCUUUUUCCAUUAGGGCAACUUCAUUAAGCAAGAGCUAGAUCUUCACAAAAGGGGACACAUUUUGCUUAAGCCUGUUCUUUCUUGGGAAGCAUGGAGAGACCAGGCCCACCAAUAUCCUCAGUAAAAACUACCAGAAAUGUGCAGUGCUCUAGGAUGUCGGCUUGGGAGUCAUUGAAGGCCAGACUGUUACAGUUAAUCUCGCCUCUUUUAGUUUCCAUUGCUCUCUUUCUCCUUUGGUCUCUUUCCUUCUUGGUGUUCCCUACCUCCUGUAGUUAUGAGUUAAUAAAAACAUGUCCCUAUUUUUAAAAAGAUCCAUAAAGUUGAUGCUAAAUUUGAGAGUUAAUGUUGCAACUAAACUCUCCUGGAGCCACAUCUUUUCUGUCUGUAAUGCCAGCAACCAUUUGUCCUUAAAAACUUACUAUAAUGAUUCUUUCAAGGCCUUUGAGAAAAUGUAAUAAACAACUAAUUGGAAAAAAAAGUAAAACCCAACUCUCACUUAUUUUACUUUCUCAGAUCAAGGAAACGGACUUCAAGCAAAAUAAUCAACUUUAUGUAGUUUAUUUUUAAACUCCUCUAUUUUCAGUAGCUCAUUUUCUUCCUUAACUGAGUCACACCGCUUUGUUCGAGUUCACAUCUACCUCUCCCCACGUGUCCCCACUAACCGACUCAGUGAUUCGCACCCAGCGAGACCGAAGGAGUGGAAACCGUCCUGAAAGGAGCCCUGCCGGCAUUUGGUCCCAGGGUAAAGCGCUCCAUUUCAGAAGUUCUGAGAAAAGUGUCUUCUUCCGAAACUACCAGUGGAGCAAAUCAUUUACCUAAUUCAUUCAAGAGCCUCCAUAGGAAGGACUUUGGAGCCUGAUGAUCCUCAUAAUUCGGUACUAAUGAAAACCCCUUUGGUCCUUCGCUUUCGGCCCCGCGAGAGACGGCAUCCGCUCCCAGGACGAAGAAGAGCGGGCCUGGCUCGCGGCGGCCCCUCCCCAUCUAACCCCAGAUGGCACAACCCGAGAGCACAGCGACGACGGCGGCGACUCCAGACGCCGCCCGUGCCACCGUCCUAUCCGCCACUGUGCCACUCUCGCCCCCUCUCCUCCAGCGCGGGCCCCUCCCGCUUUCCCUUCCUUCUCACCCUCCCCAGGGCUUUUUAUGGGGGUAAGAGGUAAAUUGGGAAUAUUUCCUCUGUCGCGAAACAUUCUCCUUCCUCAGCCAUCUCCCACUCGGGCGGAUUGGAAUUAAAAUCCGGUAAUU